CCUACGGGUGACAGCAGUGAGGAAUAUUGGUCAAUGGACGGAAGUCUGAACCAGCCAUGCCGCGUGCAGGAAGACGGCUCUAUGAGUUGUAUACUUCUUUUGUACAAGGGUAAACCUGAAUACGUGUAUUCCGCUGAAAGUACUUUACGAAUAAGGAUCGGCUAACUCCGUGCCAGCAGCCGCGGUAAUACGGAGGAUCCAAGCGUUAUCCGGAUUUAUUGGGGUUAAAGGGUGCGUAGGCGGAUGGAUAAGUUAGAGGUGAAAUGUCCGGGCUUAACUCGGGAAUGGCCGCUAAUACUGUGGACCGAGAGAGUAGAUGCGGUAGGCGGAAUGUAUGGUGUAGCGGUGAAAUGCUUAGAGAUCAUACAGAACACCGAUUGCGAAGGCAGCUUACCAAUCUAUAUCUGACGUUGAGGCACGAAAGCGUGGGGAGCAAACAGGAUUAGAUACCCGAGUAGUC
rnacentral:rRNA from 1 species